GCCCAGGGCCUAUCAGCCUGUGGGGGGCCUAGGUGGGGGGGAGGGGCAGGGGUGAGUGGCCAGACUGGCCGGCGUUUGGCAGUGGUGGUGCGUGGCAGCUGCAGUGGGGCCUGUAAGGCACUGUCUGUGGGGCCUCCCAAAGAAUGGGGUUUGGGGCGGUUGCCCUGAUUUGCCCCCCCAGGGAUGGCCCUGAUUAUUACUCAUUAAACCUUUUCAGUGAAACUAUUCAGUUGAGAGGCCCUUGGCAAAUUCAUAUCUACCAUUCCACGUGCAUUACAUUUGACUGAUACAAUGAAAUAGGAUAAAUUAGAGGAAAAACUUUCGAAAAAUACAAGGGAUUGCAACUUAAAACGUUACAUAGGUAUUCUCAAAGGGAAAAUAAGUUUCUUAGAAUAUACUGGAGACAGUGCAUGGAGUCUUAGUCGUACACACUUAGUUUCAAAGUUAUGCCACUCUACUCACAGAGAGAAAUCAAUGUAUGGUAUAUUUAAACAAUCACUGCAGCUUUUUAAAUAAUCUGAUAGUUUAGCUUUGAAUGCGAUCAAGCUAAUGGAGGCUUUAAUGGAUUCUGACAGAGUGUUCCAUUGAUCAAGGAACAUGUACGAAAAUCACUGCCUACCAAACUUUGGUUUGAUUUUAAGAAAUGGAAAACUGAAUGUUAAUGGUAAACAGAAGUUGAUUGUUCCCUUUUUCACUGAAAUAAAUAUCUGAUCUGUUCACAGAACCAAUGAAAUAAAGAAUAAUAGGAAUCCUAUACACCUGACUUUACUCUUUCAGUCUCUAAUCAAGACAAUUAAUCAGAGCAACAUGCCUUGGCAUGGAGGCAAGUAUUUGAAGACAAAGAAAAAGGGGCUAAUUUUGUGACCAAACUCUGAUUUGCACCACAUACAUGUACAUUAGAACCACUGGGGCUUCACAUGCUUGAAAUCAUUAAAGAAUGAAGUCUUUUACGUCAUAUGAAAUAUAUGUGAUGCUUCCAUGACAAUAAAAGAUAAAGCUUAGAUGAUCCAAUUUGUAUUUGGGAGGAAUUAGGGUCAUGUGUAAAUUGUUCUUCUCCUUGCCUAAAUGCUUUAAUGGAACAAGCUAACAGCUAAUUGGUACCUAAUCUAUAGCCUUAACAAAUGCAGCUUCUCUACAAACUUAUAAAUUAUUUUAUUUAAUAAAGGCAUCAACAUGUACUGUCUUAGCUUGAGAAACAGGAUGGAUAUGCACCCCACAACCUGAGAAGUGGGUAAUUCUUGGUUUAUACCGGUAAGAACAAAGUGCAAGGUCCUCAUUUCUCAUUGUUUUAGAAGAGAUGUGUGUGGCCAGGGCAGAGUUUGGGGAGGUAUCACCUGACUUAGGCAAUAAGCCAUUAGCCCAUGCACACUACUAAUACGCUGUACUUCUCCUCUAACUCCUUCUUGGGGGCUGAGUUACAACUCCAACCUAUCUCUAAGAGUUAAAUUAUAUUAAGUUAAAACAGAACAAGCGUUUACUACUGGGUACCAACUGCUCUGUAAUAACUGUUCAUGUGCCUGUUACUUCCACAGAAAGCAAAAGCUAAACCAUUGUACCCUACACCAUUGUCAUUGAGAAUUAAACUAUCCUGGAACUGUCCUGGGAGGUAAGAGUAGGUACAUAGUUACAGAUCAGCUGACAAUCCCUAAAUCCCUACACCCCCUUUGAAUUUACAGUAACUUAAUUAAUUACAGUUUGCUUGACUGUCUGUCCCCUGGGAUUAGUGUAGUACUGAGAUUUUUGGUGGGGAUUGUAUUAGAUUACUUUUUGGGAUUGAAAACUAAUCUUUGUGCCAGAUUAGCUGGGGGCACAGUGGCAGUAUUUCACCUUUAGGAUAGCAGCUCACAGAUGUGGGGUAAUAGGUCUAGAAGUAAGAUUCACGUCACAACCUAGAAGACGGAAGGUGUCCAAUGCAGGUAUUUAUUUCAUAGGGGUUCUGGUUGCCUGAUAAACCAGAAUUAGAAGCGGGAUUGAGGGAAGGGAUCCCCUACAGAAAAGUGGGAAAUAGGAUUGGGAUCCAAGUGUCUAUUGCAACAACUCUCAUGGAAGACCCAGGAACAGACUGGGAAACCAGCUGUGGAGUCACAGGGAGCUGGGAUUAGCUCUCUACCAGGUGGAAACAAUUAAGAAAAGAGUCUACUGAACUAUACUGAAUUAAGUUAAUAAAGCUGUGACCUAAUUAAGCCACAUCUCUUCCCCAUUUUGUCUUUCUUCCCACACAUCAGGCACAGUAUCACUCAGAUUCAUUUCAGUUACACUAGCACAAUUUACACUGCAUUACAUUGGAUCAAUGCAUUGCACUGUUUUAACCAAGAAGAUAAUUCUGCCCAUUGUUAGCACAGUAGCUUCAUUCAUUUGCAUUGUGUGUCAUGGAUUUUUUAUUCUUUUCAUGCCUGUUUUGUUGUUAUUCUGGCUCUUGAAUCCCCAAACCUGUUCCACAACAUUAUAGAGGCCUUGCAUGAUUUGAAAGGAUAUCUUGUUAAGUAAAUCCAGUUCAUUACCAAUGAAAAUAUCAACUAUUUCAUGAUGAUAAUAACAAGAACUGAUAUGGAUAUUUCUUAUGCUGCAUGCUACACAUCCUGGAUGUUUUCCAGUUGGUAAUUAUUCAUGGCAUUCUUAUUUACAUUUUAGACAUUCAGACUCUCUUGUAAAGCUCAGAGUGCAAGAAUGAUGCCUUUAAAAUCUAUUAUAUUGGUGUUAAUAUAUUUUUAUUUACUUAACCUCAGCAAUAAGGAACAGAACCUACAGGAUGGAAUAGCUUCAUAUGCAGAGACACAAAAAAUGCUUUAUGAAAAAAAUGUCUAAUCUACCUGGCACAAAACCAGCAGUUUUCUAUUGAACACUUUAAAAAUGGCCUUUACCUUUCAUCCCCUAAACUGGAGUCACAAUAAAAGGUUUUCAUUUUCUGCCAACAUUUUCUUUCUAUCAGUGUAAAACCAACUUUGUAUCAGAGUGUGUUUUUUUUAAAGUCCCUGCCUUGAGCAUUUCAUUUGUAUUGGGUCCAUGUUUAGUCAGUAGCUUUUGUAAAAUUGAUGAAUAUUGUCUAAAGGCAAGUGCAGACAAGCAAACAGAUCUGUAUCUUCUGUAAUCCAUUUAGCCUGACACACACGUGCAAGGGAACUAUUUUACCUCAAUUCUUUCAGGGCUGAUGAAAAGUAAAUGUAAGCAAAGUCAUGAACUUCACCAUUUGAAAAAAAAUCACAGAAUCUACUGUUAGAAGCUAAUUUAUGCUUUCCCCCUGAAACAGACUGACCUCGGUCCUCAGGCAUCUAGAGUCAAUAAACAGUUGCCAUACAUAGAACAUUCAUUAGAGGCCUGGGUUAAGAAUGUUUUUGUAGCACAUCCAAAAUGGUAAUGGGCUACCUAAUGGUACAAUAUUAAUGGAUUGCAAAAGGAUCAUUUCAGGAUGACCUUGGUCAAAAUUAUUUAAAUGACAUAAGGAAAGCUUGUAAAUCAUGUUCUUGUUAUUGUCUCUUUCUAACAAUUAAUUGGAAAGGGCAGUAAUUAUACUAAGCACUCAUUCUUUUAUGAAUGAGUUCUGUUUUGUUCUUUUCUGCUGACACCUUCAGAACUAUUAUGCAUUUUCGACAAUUCCAGUCUACACUGCCAAACUUUUGCUGUUGUCCCUGAUGAGGCCAGGGAAAGGGAGGGCUGAAUUCUGCUCUUAUGCUGCUGUAUUCCCACAGAGUUCAGUGAUAUUAUUUGGAUUUACAGUGGCACAACUGAGCUCCAAAUCCAACACAAAACAUUUAAAUCCUCUUUGAGCCAUAUCUGGGUGUCUGAGCAUCAAUAUCUUGUCUGGGAAAUCUUAAGUUUUGUCCAUUCCAAGGAUUUCCUAGAUUUCCACUGGUUUGAACCUGUACUAUUGUAUAUUGUGGUUUAUGGUAAUUUGAUCUGUCUGCACUAGAAGAUUGUACCAGUGCAGAUAUUCCAUUGGCUUCAUUCCCAGCAUGAAUAAGGCCUUAGAUUCAUGGAUUUUUAGACAUUCUAUUAUGGUUACCAUCAGUCUCCUAAUCAAAGAACAAAAAAAUUAGUGACUUUUGAAUACUACAGUAAAUAAUUAUUUGCCAAUCAUUUUUAAUAGCUAUGCUUCCAUUUUACCCAGUUUUCAACAUUUAUGUGCAUUCUGUACCCUUUAUGCCUGUCAAAAUCAUUUCACCAUUGUGAUUCCCAGGGUUUCUAGCUAUGCUUAAUUAAACCAAAAAUAAUCAUAAAGAAACAGCAGAAAC